AUUGAACGCUGGCGGCAUGCUUUACACAUGCAAGUCGAACGGCAGCGCGGGCUUCGGCCUGGCGGCGAGUGGCGAACGGGCGAGUAAUACAUCGGAACGUGCCCAGUCGUUGAGGAUAGCUCGGCGAAAGGCGGAUUAAUACCGCAUACGACCAGAUUGUGAAAGGGGGGGAUCUUCGGACAUAGCGGUAUUGGAUGGGCCGAAGGCAGAUUAGCGAGUUGGAGGGGUAAAGGGCUACCAAGGCGACGAUCCGUAGCUGGUCUGAGAGGACGACCAGCCACCCUUGGACUGAGACACGGCCCAGACUCCUACGGGAGGCAGCAGUGGGGAAUUUUGGACAAAGGGCGAAAGCCUGAUCCAGCAAUGCCGCGUGUGUGAUGAAGGCCUUCGGGUUGUAAAGCACUUUUGGCGGGAACGAAAAGGACUGUGCCAAUACCACGGUUCGAUGACGGUACCCGAAGAAUAAGCACCGGCUAACUACGUG
rnacentral:rRNA from 1 species